rnacentral:rRNA from 1 species
CACAAUGGGCGCAAGCCUGAUGCAGCCAUGCCGGGUGUAUGAAGAAGGCCUUAGGGUUGUAAAGUACUUUCAGCGGGGAGGAAGGUGAUAAGGUUAAUACCCUUAUCAAUUGACGUUACCCGCAGAAGAAGCACCGGCUAACUCCGUGCCAGCAGCCGCGGUAAUACGGAGGGUGCAAGCGUUUUUCGGAAUUACUGGGCGUAAAGCGCACGCAGGCGGUCAAUUAAGUCAGAUGUGAAAGCCCCGAGCUUAACUUGGGAAUUGCAUCUGAAACUGGUUGGGUAGAGUCUUGUAGAGGGGGGUAGAAUUCCAUGUGUAGCGGUGAAAUGCGUAGAGAUGUGGAGGAAUACCGGUGGCGAAGGCGGCCCCCUGGACAAAGACUGACGCUCAGGUGCGAAAGCGUGGGGAGCAAACAGGAUUAGAUACCUUGGUAGUCCACGCUGUAAACGAUGUCGAUUUAGAGGUUGUGGUCUUGAACCGUGGCUUCUGGAGCUAAC